UAGGUUAACGAGGCGAACCGGGGGAACUGAAACAUCUAAGUACCCCGAGGAAAAGAAAUCAACCGAGAUUCCCCCAGUAGCGGCGAGCGAACGGGGAGCAGCCCAGAGUCUGAAUCAGCUUGUGUGUUAGUGGAACGGUCUGGAAAGUCCGACGGUACAGGGUGAUAGUCCCGUACACCAAAAUGCACAGGCUGUGAACUCGAAGAGUAGGGCGGGACACGUGGUAUCCUGUCUGAAUAUGGGGGGACCAUCCUCCAAGGCUAAAUACUCCUGACUGACCGAUAGUGAACCAGUACCGUGAGGGAAAGGCGAAAAGAACCCCGGCGAGGGGAGUGAAAAAGAACCUGAAACCGUGUACGUACAAGCAGUGGGAGCACCUUCGGGUGUGACUGCGUACCUUUUGUAUAAUGGGUCAGCGACUUAUAUUCUGUAGCAAGGUUAACCGUAUAGGGGAGCCGCAGGGAAACCGAGUC
rnacentral:rRNA from 1 species